rnacentral:lncRNA from 1 species
UGUCACUUUAAAUUUCAGCUGUUUUGUUUGUCUUUCUUUACAUUUAUGAUUUGUAUUAUUAUUUUCUUAUGUUUGAGAGCCUUCAGCAGUUCUAAACCAUCUAAUUUGGUACCAGUGGGAACCAAAGAGAAAUCUAAAAGAUGUUAGUAAAGAAAGAAAGAGUAACAAAUGCAGAUAAUAAAAUGAUGAAGGAUUAGAAAAUGGAGAAGUAAUAAAAUAAGGAGGAGAAACAGGAAGAAAAGUAGGAGAAACACAUAGGAAGCAACAGUGAGAUUGACCAAGAUUUAGAGUUUGUUCAAUAUUAUCUAUUCUACCUGAACUGCAAAACAAGAAAAGCCCUCCUAUUGAAGGAUUCUGGGUUACUGAUAAUUACCGAAAUGAUAUGCAAUAAUAUUAGGUCUUUUAUGCAAGCAAAGAAAUGUAGUAUGCAAGGAUAAUGACUGGGAAUAUUUGAUGAAGACUAUAAUGAGGAUGAAACAACACUUGAGAUCUAGAAGAAGUGUAUGAAUAUGAUGGAUUUAAAUAUUAUAGGAAAGGAGAAAUUUCCAGGAAGAAAAAAACAGAUCUUAAGUUUCCAAUAACUGGAAGGAGUUUAACACACUUGAUUGUUACAGGAAGUGUUUCUGUGAGGAAAACCCAAUAGAAUGAUGUCUGAUGGAUGAGCAAUUAAGAGCCUUUACCCUGAGCUUGUCACGUUCUGCUAGGCCUGCAUAGAAACCUCCCAUCCACCCAAGAUCCAACAAGUAAAGCUAUGAUGCCUGGCAGAGCAUGAGGACUCCAGCUGGCUUCUCUUCUGGGAGUAUCGUGCCCGUGUACAUUAGCUCUUACAAAUCCAAAUUUGGAUGGGAUGUGGAGAAAAAUGAGAGGCUAACAAGAAAGACAGCCAGCAGAAAAAUUGAUAACUGACUGAUGCUCAAAUAGUGAUUCUGUUUUUGUGUCUCUGGGUUCCUAAGGAGUUCUUCCCCUGAAGAUCUUCAAGUGCAAACCUUUGGCACAGGUGAGUGUUCUAGUUCUCUGCUUAUACUCAGCCUUCACUGUGCCUUCUGCUGGAUCCUUCUUGAUUUGCACACCAUUUUUCAUGAGGGAGGCAUCUGAUCCUGAGUGUACCAUGUUCAUAAGGAGGAACGUCCCCUUUCCUACUUCCAACAGGAAUUAAAAAAGCACAUAAAUCCACUAGGCAGAUUUUAUUGUAAUUCGUUUUCAGAUUUCACAGGAUUUAUAGAGUUGAUAAUCAAAGUAAGUCCCUUCUAAUGACACCUAAAAUUACAUCUUCUAUCUCUUGUUCCCAAUCAUACCUUACAUUUCCAGUGGAGUCACUGAGAACAAUAGGAUAGAAAUUAUAUUUUAAUUGUGUGCUUUACUUUUAUAAAAUUGAAUUAAAGGUGAACACUUUAUCAUCAGAGAUAAUGACAACUAAUAUUAAUUAAUUGGCUACUUUAUGCUAGGCAAUGAGUUAAGUGAUUUACUUUUGUUACUUAUAAUAUCACAAGAACAAUUUGAGGUGGUUAUAAUAUUCUGAAUUCUGUAG